UGAGGAAUAUUGGUCAAUGGGCGGGAGCCUGAACCAGCCAAGCCGCGUGAGGGAAGAAGGCCCUAUGGGUCGUAAACCUCUUUUGUCAGGGAACAAAAGCGAGUAUGUAUACUGGUCUGAGUGUACCUGAAGAAAAACGCAUCGGCUAACUCCGUGCCAGCAGCCGCGGUAAUACGGAGGAUGCGAGCGUUAUCCGGAUUUAUUGGGUUUAAAGGGUGCGUAGGCGGCGGUGCAAGUCAGCGGUAAGAGCCCAGGGGGUCUCAACCCCGGCGAGCCGUUGAAACUGCAGUGCUAGAGAAGGCGAGAGGUACGCGGAAUGCGCAGUGUAGCGGUGAAAUGCUUAGAUAUUGCGCAGAACUCCGAUUGCGAAGGCAGCGUACUGGCGCCUGACUGACGCUGAGGCACGAAAGCGUGGGGAUCGAACAGGAUUAGAUACC
rnacentral:rRNA from 1 species